GACUCGCACCACAGUAAUCGACGGUAAUGAGAUUAGAUAGACAUAAAAAUGAAUUUGCAAUAAUCCCGGAACUUGAUUGCUAAGCUUUAUCGCAAUAAAACGCACUAUUCAACGGAUUGAAAGUGACAGAAGAGGAUAUUGCAGUGACUUUUACAUUCUUCCCACAUGUCUUCAACAAGAGGAAAUUAUGAGAAGUGAACUCGCAGCUUUCAUUAAAACUGUCUCAGAAAGGGAAAUUAUAUCGUUUGAAGCAUAAAGUACAAUGACUCGAUUGUUCAGCGGAACGAAGAUACGAGAUAGAAGUAAUGCAUCGUUGUCACACACAUUGAGAGCACAAAUAGAGCAUGCUAGCGUGCAUUACGAAUGUCUUAAGAGCGGUCGCAAAAAGAGACUAAUGAGAGGGGAAGCCAGUACAAAUUACCGGGGCCCGACUGCCCGGAAGAGCCUAUUUGUCUUUCUCAGAAAGAUCAUUAUUGGUCUAUCUAUUUUUAGUAUGCACUGUUAAAUCGGCAAACCCUACGAAGAAUUUCGGAAAAAUCUUUUUGUGUUUCUUCAAAUAAGACUAAUCACCGACAACAGACGAUAAUAACAUUUAGAAAAUGGAAUAUUUCAUUGUAUCUGUUAUAUCAAGCUUAUUAGCUAACAUUUAUUCUUACUCGCACGUCAAUAUAAUAUUUAUUUUUACUCGCACGUCAAUACAAGUUUCGUGCCAAGGAAGCUGAAAACAUUUCAACUCGAGACCAUCUUGGUCUUGAAUAUGCAUCAAUAUUCAAUGUUUUCUCGGUUUCCACGAGCAAGUGCCAUAUUUUGCACACGUCGUUGCGGUUUCGAGUUGACUUCUACGCGUUUGUCAUAGAAAUGACGAAUGAAUGAUAUAAAGACGGUGUGAAAAAAAUCGCGAGAAAACAGGAAAGGCAGCCGAGUGUGACAAAGAAUGCUGUGUACUUGCAUGCGAAUAUAACAAACUUUUGUUACAUGCGCUAAAGGCAGUAAUAAUCGAGGGAAAUAUCGUGUUGCUUUCGUGUUUCGAUUCGUAAACUUGUUUAAUCCACCUCGCGAUAACUCUAUCGGAUAAGAUUAACGUUGUACCAUUCGCAAUAGAGACAAUUCCUUUUAUACACUUACAAAUAGUGACAAUUUCGAUAAGGAUAAUCUCGCAAGAUAGAAUUGGUAAAAUAAAAAAUAAAUGAGUUCUGAAUAAUUUUUAUGAGUUAUCAUGUUGCUCGAUAAGAGGAGUAUCAGCCUGAUUAAAGACUCGUUUGUUCCUUAUUUAUAUGGCUCUUUCGUUAAUAAAUAAAAAAUACAUAAAGCUC